rnacentral:pre_miRNA from 1 species
CAACUACUCCCUCUGUCCCAAAUUUCUUGUCUUAGAUUUUUCUAGAUACGGAUGUAUCUAAUACUAAAAUGUGACUUGAUACAUCCGUAUCUAGUCAAAUCUAAGACAAGAAUUUUGGGACGGAGGGAGUACUUU